rnacentral:rRNA from 1 species
GUUGACCUCGGAUCAGGUAGGGAUACCCGCUGAACUUAAGCAUAUCAAUAAGCGGAGGAAAAGAAACCAACUGGGAUUGCCUUAGUAACGGCGAGUGAAGCGGCAAUAGCUCAAAUUUGAAAGCUGGCGCCUUCGGCGUCCGCGUUGUAAUUUGUAGAGGAUGCUUCGGCGAGGACUCCUGCCUAAGUUCCCUGGAAUGGGACGUCACAGAGGGUGAGAAUCCCGUAUGUGGCGGGCGGUCCAAGCCAUGUGAAGCUCCUUCGACGAGUCGAGUUGUUUGGGAAUGCAGCUCUAAAUGGGAGGUAAAUUUCUUCUAAAGCUAAAUACCGGCCAGAGACCGAUAGCGCACAAGUAGAGUGAUCGAAAGAUGAAAAGCACUUUGGAAAGAGAGUUAAAAAGUACGUGAAAUUGUUGAAAGGGAAGCGCUUGCAACCAGACUCGCUCGCAGUUGCUCAGCCCGCCUCCUGGCGGGCGUACUCUUCUGCGGUCGGGCCAGCAUCAGUUCGGGCGGCUGGAUAAAGGUGUCGGGAAUGUAGCACCCUUCGGGGUGUGUUAUAGCCCGGCGCGGAAUGCAGCCAGCCUGGACUGAGGAUCUCGCUUCGGCAAGGAUGCUGGCGUAAUGGUUGUAAGCGGCCCGUCUUGAAACACGGACCAAGGAGUCUAACAUCUAUGCGAGUGUUUGGGUGUCAAACCCAUGCGCGUAAUGAAAGUGAACGGAGGUGGGAACCCGCAAGGGUGCACCAUCGACCGAUCCUGAUGUCUUCGGAUGGAUUUGAGUAAGAGCAUAGCUGUUGGGACCCGAAAGAUGGUGAACUAUGCCUGAAUAGGGUGAAGCCAGAGGAAACUCUGGUGGAGGCUCGCAGCGGUUCUGACGUGCAAAUCGAUCGUCAAAUUUGGGUAUAGGGGCGAAAGACUAAUCGAACCAUCUAGUAGCUGGUUCCUGCCGA